rnacentral:rRNA from 1 species
AUUGAACGCUGGCGGCAGGCCUAACGCAUGCAAGUCGAGCGGAUGAAGGGAGCUUGCUCCUGGAUUCAGCGGCGGACGGGUGAGUAAUGCCUAGGAAUCUGCCUGGUAGUGGGGGAUAACGUCCGGAAACGGGCGCUAAUACCGCAUACGUCCUGAGGGAGAAAGUGGGGGAUCUUCGGACCUCACGCUAUCAGAUGAGCCUAGGUCGGAUUAGCUAGUUGGUGGGGUAAAGGCCUACCAAGGCGACGAUCCGUAACUGGUCUGAGAGGAUGAUCAGUCACACUGGAACUGAGACACGGUCCAGACUCCUACGGGAGGCAGCAGUGGGGAAUAUUGGACAAUGGGCGAAAGCCUGAUCCAGCCAUGCCGCGUGUGUGAAGAAGGUCUUCGGAUUGUAAAGCACUUUAAGUUGUGAGGAAGGGCAGUAAGUUAAUACCUUGCUGUUUUGACGUUACCAACAGAAUAAGCACCGGCUAACUUCGUG